UGCAAGCUGUUUCAGAAAGAACUCGGCGCAGUACAAUUUGGUUGUCAGGGUUGAAGCAUACCGGUACGCUGUUUUCCUCGUGCAGUUAACAUUGGUUACCCAACUGGUAUUGCCAUAUGUUUUCAAAAAAUACAUAUUUCCUUACACUUCAUAACCCAUUUAUUAAAAAGAAAAGUGCAGCAUGUAUUUAAAGAGGUUCAGGUAUGUUCAUUUAAUCCCCCAAAGCAAUGAAAUUAACAUAUCUUUCUUUAUACUUGACCUGCAACUCAUUGGAGAAGGACCUGCCAAAGCUGCAUUUUUUUUUUUAAUAGUGUUAAUUGAGCAACUUCUUUAUCUGGUGACAAGAUGUUUACAGAUGAAAAAAAAAAACAAAACAUAAUAUAUUUGACUGAGACUAAAGGAAAAUGGUUUGCAUAUAUCUGUGUUAACGUAGCUUAACUCUGAUGCUGUACAUUUGGCAAAUUUGAAGUGACCAACCCAGUUCUGUACGUUUAUUUUCCUUCAGACACAACCUGCCUUAUCUCUUUUAACACUUGGCAGAUGUAAGAAUGCA